rnacentral:rRNA from 1 species
UACGGGGGGGGGCAAGCGUUUGUUCGGAAUUACUGGGCGUAAAGGGCUCGUAGGCGGCCAACUAAGUCGGAUGUGAAAUCCCCAGGCUUAACCUGGGAACUGCAUCCGAUACUGGAUGGCUUGAAUCCGGGAGAGGGAUGCGGAAUUCCAGGUGUAGCGGUGAAAUGCGUAGAUAUCUGGAGGAACACCGGUGGCGAAGGCGGCAUCCUGGACCGGCAUUGACGCUGAGGAGCGAAAGCCAGGGGAGCAAACGGG